rnacentral:rRNA from 1 species
CGUACACUCCUGCGGGAGGCAGCAGUGGGGAAUAUUGCACAAUGGGCGCAAGCCUGAUGCAGCCAUGCCGCGUGUGUGAAGAAGGCCUUCGGGUUGUAAAGCACUUUCAGCGGGGAGGAAGGCGAUACGGUUAAUAACCGUGUUGAUUGACGUUACCCGCAGAAGAAGCACCGGCUAACUCCGUGCCAGCAGCCGCGGUAAUACGGAGGGUGCAAGCGUUAAUCGGAAUUACUGGGCGUAAAGCGCACGCAGGCGGUCUGUCAAGUCGGAUGUGAAAUCCCCGGGCUCAACCUGGGAACUGCAUUCGAAACUGGCAGGCUUGAGUCUUGUAGAGGGGGGUAGAAUUCCAGGUGUAGCGGUGAAAUGCGUAGAGAUCUGGAGGAAUACCGGUGGCGAAGGCGGCCCCCUGGACAAAGACUGACGCUCAGGUGCGAAAGCGUGGGGAGCAAACAGGAUUAGAAACCCGAGUAGUCCCAUGAU